rnacentral:rRNA from 1 species
UGGGGAAUUUUGGACAAUGGGGGCAACCCUGAUCCAGCCAUGCCGCGUGCGGGAAGAAGGCCUUCGGGUUGUAAACCGCUUUUAGCCGGGAAGAAAAGGCGCAGGCUAAUACCCUGCGUUCUUGACGGUACCGGCGGAAUAAGCACCGGCUAACUACGUGCCAGCAGCCGCGGUAAUACGUAGGGUGCGAGCGUUAAUCGGAAUUACUGGGCGUAAAGCGUGCGCAGGCGGUUCGUUAAGUCAGAUGUGAAAGCCCCGGGCUCAACCUGGGAACGGCAUUUGAAACUGGCGAGCUGGAGUGUGGCAGAGGGGGGUGGAAUUCCGCGUGUAGCAGUGAAAUGCGUAGAGAUGCGGAGGAACACCGAUGGCGAAGGCAGCCCCCUGGGCUGACACUGACGCUCAGGCACGAAAGCGUGGGGAGCAAACAGG